rnacentral:rRNA from 1 species
CACGUAGGGGGCGAGCGUUGUCCGGAUUUAUUGGGCGUAAAGAGCUCGUAGGCGGUUUCGUAAGUCGGAUGUGAAAACUCCAGGCUCAACUUGGAGACGCCAUUCGAUACUGCGAUGACUUGAGUCCGGUAGGGGAGUGUGGAAUUCCUGGUGUAGCGGUGAAAUGCGCAGAUAUCAGGAGGAACACCGGUGGCGAAGGCGGGUCUCUGGGCCGAUACUGACGCUGAGGAGCGAAAGCGUGGGGAGCGAACAGG